rnacentral:ncRNA from 1 species
GGAGCCUGCGGCUUAAUUUGACUCAACACGGGAAACCUCACCCGGCCCGGACACGGACAGGAUUGACAGAUUGAUAGCUCUUUCUCGAUUCCGUGGGUGGUGGUGCAUUUUUCGUUCUUAGUUGGUGGAGCGAUUUGUCUGGUUAAUUCCGAUAACGAACGAAACUCUGGCAUGCUAACUAGUUACGCGACCCCCGAGCGGUCGGCGUCCCCCAACUUCUUAGAGGGACAAGUGGCGUUCAGCCACCCGAGAUUGACCAAUAACAGGUCUCACCUGCCCUUAGAUGUCCGGGGCGGCAUUCGCGCUAC